GUCUUUAGGCUUGAUCAAUUCAUAAACAUAGAGAUUUUGUGUUUUCCUUUUAGUUAUGGCUAGACGUCCGUUUCUCUAUUCACUAUUUGAUAGUGACUAAUUUAUAGAACCCAACUUCGAUAGAUGGUAUCGAAAGUUGCAAAUAGUUCUAUAGCAUAAAUAGAUCCUAUAUAUGAUUACGGAUCUAGCACCUAAUAUUCUCAC
rnacentral:lncRNA from 1 species